rnacentral:rRNA from 1 species
GAAACGACUGCUAAGACUGGAUAGGAGACAAGAAGGCAUCUUCUUGUUUUUAAAAGACCUAGCAAUAGGUAUGCUUAGGGAGGAGCUUGCGUCACAUUAGUUAGUUGGUGGGGUAAAGGCCUACCAAGACUAUGAUGUGUAGCCGGGCUGAGAGGUUGAACGGCCACAUUGGGACUGAGACACGGCCCAAACUCCUACGGGAGGCAGCAGUAGGGAAUUUUCGGCAAUGGAGGAAACUCUGACCGAGCAACGCCGCGUGAACGAUGAAGUAUUUCGGUACGUAAAGUUCUUUUAUUAGGGAAGAAUAAAUGAUGGAAAAAUCAUUCUGACGGUACCUAAUGAAUAAGCCCCGGCUAACUAUGUGCCAGCAGCCGCGGUAAUACAUAGGGGGCAAGCGUUAUCCGGAAUUAUUGGGCGUAAAGGGUGCGUAGGCGGUUAAAUAAGUUUAUGGUCUAAGUGCAAUGCUCAACAUUGUGAUGCUAUAAAAACUGUUUAGCUAGAGUAAGAUAGAGGCAAGUGGAAUUCCAUGUGUAGUGGUAAAAUGCGUAAAUAUAUGGAGGAACACCAGUAGCGAAGGCGGCUUGCUGGGUCUUUACUGACGCUGAGGCACGAAAGCGUGGGGAGCAAACAGGAUUAGAUACCCUGGUAGUCCACGCCGUAAACGAUGAGUACUAAACGUUGGGUAAAACCAGUGUUGAAGUUAACACAUUAAGUACUCCGCCUGAGUAGUACGUACGCAAGUCAUGAAACUUAAAGGAAUUGACGGGACUCCGCACCAGCGGUGGAUCAUGUUGUUUAAUUCGAAGGUACCCGAAAAACCUCACCAGGUCUUGACAUGCUACUGCAAAGCUGUAGAGACACAGUGGAGGUUAUCAGUUGCACAGGUGGUGCAUGGUUGUCGUCAGCUCGUGUCGUGAGAUGUUGGGUUAAGUCCCGCAACGAGCGCAACCCUUAUUGUUAGUUACCAGCACGUAAUGGUGGGGACUUUAGCAAGACUGCCAGUGAUAAAUUGGAGGAAGGUGGGGACGACGUCAAAUCAUCAUGCCCCUUAUGACCUGGGCUACAAACGUGAUACAAUGGCUGUUACAAAGGGUAGCUGAAGCGCAAGUUUUUGGCGAAUCUCAAAAAAACAGUCUCAGUACGGAUUGAAGUCUGCAACUCGACUUCAUGAAGUUGGAAUCGCUAGUAAUCGCGAAUCAGCAUGUCGCGGUGAAUACGUUGACGGGGUUUGUACACACC